AGUUAAACAAUUAAAAAAAAAACAUGUCUGUAGCCUAUCAGUUUAUAACCCUAACGAGUUCAGGUCCUAAUCCCUAGAUUCUAAGUCACUGAGCUGCUUUUGUGGAAACGUGGCACAUUUUUUGCCUUUUUGGGGGGUGAGGGUUAGUUGUAAGAAGAAAAGAGGAAGAAAGGAAAGAAGGAUGGAAUCGUGGAAGACACUGAAAAGGAAUCUACUACCUAGAAGGGACCCGGGGGUUAAUGUAGUCCUAUCCUCUAUGUAAAGAAUAUAUUCUUUCCACAACGUUCCUGGUGUGGUAGACUAUUAACCUGGUCGCACAGCGACUCUGGGUUUGGCUAGUAGGUCAUUAACAAGCAUAAUUCAAGCAAAGGCUUUGACAAGUCCUUGUAGAUGGGAAUGUUAUCCUUGGGAUCCAGCUGCCAUGUAAAAAGACCUGUGGAAAGACCAUAGAGAAAGGAGCCCCCGGUUUUCACCUGUGACUGCCAAGAUGCCAGCCAAGCACAACCACAUGAGACCCCAAGAGAAACCAGCAGAAGAAUCAUCCAGCGGAGCCUCAUUAUUUCACAAGAAAAAAUAAAAUGGUGGUUGUUAGGGAACGCCUGGGGGGCUCAGUCGGUUAAGCGUCUGACUUCAGCUCAGGUCAUGAUCUCACAGUUCGUGGGUUCAAGCCCCACGUCAGGCUCUGUGCUGACAGUUCAGAGCCUGGAGCCUGCUUUGGAUUGUGUCUCCCUCUCUCUCUGCCCCUCCCCCCCCCUUGUGCUCUCCCUCUCUCUCUCUCAACAAUGAACAUUAAAAAAGAAAAAAGAGAUCCACUAUCAAAUAUUUGUAUAAGCAAAUCUUAAGUCCCACCCCUUCCUAAGGCAAACAGUAACCUAGACCAGGGAGGGCAUAGACGGAGCACACAUCGUGCCCACACCCUUCCAGCCCAUAUGGCAGGCAUCAGUAAUUAACGACUGCACUGGGCUCAGUCCUGCUAAGCUUACAUAAAGCCCUAAAUCUUCAACCCAGGGUUCCAAGCUGCACAUCCAGUUUCUGAACCACGUUCUGUGCAACUUAUUUGGUUCCUCCCUUAAUAGUAGGGGAGUCCCAAUUUGGGGGACUAUCGGGAGACCCACUAGAGAUCUAUUUCCAUAAGGAGCAAAGGAGCCUCCUGGGAAAGAAUUUAUCCUAAGAGAAGAGAGAAGGGAGUCACGGAGGUUCGAUUUAAGGAUAAUGGCCCAGUGGGGGGGGGGGGGGGGGGGAUGUGGAUCCUGUCGCUCAGAAUGACCUCUGUCCAGCCCCACUGGACUGAUGGCUGAGCCCUUUUGUGUAGGAAGGCUACAAAAACCCCAGCAGCUUCACAACGGUGGUCAUGGGUCCUAAUGGUCUAAGAGAGCUGCCACUUUGGGGUCAGCAACUGCUGCCCCAGUGGGAAGAGACACUGUCUCCAGGUUGGACACCUAUGCUGGGUGUUAAGCGUGGAUAGGUGUUGGGCACGAGAGGCUUCGGCACAAAUAUGAGAGAGUACCAGCAGCGGGGACCUGGGUGGCGCCCCCAGCGCACCAGGCUUUGCCAGGCACCUCCUGUGGCUGCCGUACGCACCACUGGUGGUAACCAAAGACCUCAGUUCAGCAAGGCAGAACAGAGAGGCAGGCUGCUGUCAGGUGCCCUGCGGCCCCCAUGAACACAACGGGUCACCCGCUGGGAACCCCCAGAAGUACGCGGAAG
rnacentral:lncRNA from 1 species